UUUACUCUUGAUGGUCAGAGAA
rnacentral:miRNA from 1 species